GACAGGGGAUGCAAGUGUUAUCCGGAAUCACUGGGCGUAAAGCGUCUGCAGGUGGUUUCCUAAGUCCACUGUUAAACCUUGAGGCUCAACCUCAAAUCUGCAUUGGAAACUAGGAGACUUGAGUAUAGUAGGGGUAGAGGGAAUUUCCAGUGGAGCGGUGAAAUGCGUAGAUAUUGGAAAGAACACCGAUGGCGAAGGCACUCUACUGGGCUAUUACUGACACUCAGAGACGAAAGCUAGGGGAGCAAAUGGG
rnacentral:rRNA from 1 species